CAACUUGUAACGUCUCGUUAGCCUCAUGUGUCUGUGAAAAUUCCCUGUAUUUUGUUAAUGACUGUGACUGCCCUUUUUUGUGGAUUUUGCGCUUUCGUGUUGUUUUGAGUUUCCUUUUGUUCACCAAUGAACCUUUUUUUUCAAGUUAAAUCUAGUCUCCAGUGUCAAAUCUCUCCAUUUGAGUCCUCAUCCAGACGUGAAACGUGACACUACAAUCUGAUGGACUCAGCAGAGGACAGCGCAAUGCGCUCCGCCCUUCAAACGCAAGGGAAGAGCCUAUACGACCACGAACAGCUGCUCUCCGGGUUAGACAGCGGGGUUGAGGCGCUUCACGCUCACCAGAAUGCAUUUCAAACCAACUGCAGGAUCUCAGCCGUCGGGCGGAACCAGCACCGACAGGUCCACCAGCUCCAGCGGUUUGCAGCACGUACCUCGAAUUGAGAGCUAUGACGGCAACGCUGUGUCGCUCUUUUUUAUCAUUAUGUUCACUUACCUUUGACCUCCAACCCUUGUCCUACCCCACCAAACAGUCCAGGGUGGCGUUCAUCAUUACUAACAUCUCAGGGAGGGCAAGGGAAUGGGCUACAGCGUAGUGGGACAAUCAAACUGCCAUUUGCCAAUCUGUUGUGGAUUUUGCCGGGGCCCUAACAAGGGUGUUUGACCACCGGGUCCCAGGUAGUGAGUCGGCUCGAGGACUUUUUUCUCUCUGCCAGGGGAGCAGCCGGGCGGCUGAUUAUGCCAUUCGCUUCCGCACCCUAGCAGCAGACAGACAGUGCAACUUUCCUUCCAUGGCAGACGCCUUCUGGUUCGGGAGAUCAAGGAACAAUUAGCGCCUCUUGACUUACUAACAGACCUUGAAGGCUUAGUGGCUCUGGUAGUCAAAAUUGAUAACCGGCUUUAUGCAAGAGAGAUGGAGAGACGCCAGGCCAAGAGGAGAUCUCCGGAGCCCCAGGAGCUACCCUCUUCAUCACGUCGGCCAGACCUAUGACCAAACCAUCACUCGAACCGCUACGCUUCUACAAGGAUCGACUGUCCUCCCUAAUGUGCAAGAGGAGCCCAUGCAACUUGUCUCGUCUCUCACCGGAGGAGCAUCACGUCGACUAAAGGAUGAGAGCAGCUGGAACACUUCCUGGCCAGAUGUCCGUUAAAAUACUCGGCUCGCCAGUAAGAGGAGGAUUAGUUCCCCCCUCCACCCCAUCGAAUCAUCGACGGUGUUCGUCCUCCCAGCCUCCCUGCAUCAUCACUACGAACUGCAUAUUUCCCCCUUAUUAUCUGCUCGUGUGAGGCUAAUUUCUUUCUUGAGCAGAUGAACUGUGCCUAUUUUCAUUGGUCUCACCUAUGAAAAUGUCUCGGUAAUGUCUCGGUGUUGUAUACAUUAAUAAACCCCUCUUUGGCUCGCUUGCUCACUCACCUUGCAAGAAUAGGUCAUUCGCAAAUAUGAUGGACAGGUGAUCUGUGCCAGGACAAUGUGACCUCUAUAACCUUUUAGUGACCUUUCACAACCUUCUGACCAGCCGAUUGGUGUCCAACCCGUCCCUCUCUGAUUAGCCUGGAAAUUGGAGAUGAGCAGCACCCUGCCGCGCAGGCGCACACACACAAACACACACAAAAUCCAACACUUCGCCGCAAGCAGCCCAUCUCCAAUCUCCAGUUUUUGCUUCUGAAGGGAAACACGAUGAGGCUUAUCGACCACCGUGUUGUUAACCACAGCAAAUUUGUAGUUUUGUUUUCCCACGUUUCACUGUGUCAAAGCUGAGGACUCCAGCCGUACUCCUAAUUUCCUUUAGUUACAUGCUCUCACUACAUUUUGUCUUUCCUUGCCUGUUUCAUACAGCUAACAGUGAAAAUGGCUAAAUCCAGCUACAUUACAAAACCAGUGAUUCCACGAUUAUCACAAAGAGGCAGUGACUCACUUUGUGAGGAAACAGAAAGGACAUUUGUUUAUGAAAUUAAUGAAAAGAAAGGCUGCUCAGAGAAUAUCAAAAUACAGAGACCACCAACUCACACCACUCUGUGGUCAAUCAACAGCUCAGGACUUCAUUUCAGCCGGCGUCAGUGCCACAGCUGCAGAUGGAAAUGUUCAUAGAUUACAUAAUGCAGUUACUAUAAGCUAGACUGUGAACUGCCGGCAGCAUCUGCCCACACACUGCAUUUAUUCCUCAGACUCAACCCAAAUGAAGGAGUUAUUUUAUCUCCCCAAUCCAUAUCUUUCACUUGUCCUAUCGUUUAUCUUUCUCUCCCUGUUGUAUUCUAUCACUGUCUAUCUUGUUUUACAGGGUUUGGGGGAAAUGAGAAACGCCGGGAAGCGAGUGAGAGGGAGAGAGGAAGACAAAGUGGUGUGUUCACUGUGGAGCUUCACAGCGUCUGUUGGUUCCUGUGGGAGAGUUUGUUGGCAUUCACCUUGAGGUGUACACGUGCAGACAAACAUGCUCCUGCAAACACACGGACACGUGCACAAGUGAUUUAAGUCAAACGGAGGCAAACGCGUUGUCGUAAACAUAAACAGUCAUAAAGUCCGUUAUUAUUUCUGCAAUAUAAUAUAAAGUUGUUCCUUGAAGAGAAGGUUUCUUGUUUUUA
ensembl:lncRNA